UCAAAUUUGCGUCAGUCAAGACUCGAGAGUCAAGAGUCAAGACAGAAAUCAAAAUCGGUCAUUCUGUUUUCAACGUUGCACAGAUGCGCUUGUUCCUGCAGUAUUUCAUUUUAAACGUCGUAAAUUAUUAUUAAGUGUUGUGUUUUAGACGUAAAUAAGUGUUUGUGUGGUGUUUAAGGAUUGCAUAGUCUAGCUUAUUUUGCAGCUUAGUCUGAUGCUCAAAAUGCCAAGUCAAGCUCGCUGCGACAGAGUUCCCCCCACAGAUGGGGUAUGGGGCCCAGUGGACCUGAGAGUCUUACAAGAAGAUGAUUUACCUUUAGACCCGCGGAGCUGGUGUCGCGCCGACGUGGGCAUCUGGGUCUCUCGUCGAGGUGGUCUACCCGAACGGUUUCCCAUGAACGGGAAGGCACUGUGUCUCAUGUCCAAAGAUAUGUUUGCUGCCAGGGUACCGAAGGGCGG